ACGCAAUGAUGAGUGAAGUAUAGUCUGACCUGGUAUUGCCACUGUUUCAAAGUUGGCUUUGACCAGGGUAUGAUCCCUUAAUCUUCUCUCUGAGCUG
rnacentral:snoRNA from 14 species